rnacentral:rRNA from 1 species
AAUACAUCGGAACGUGCCCUGUAGUGGGGGAUAACUAGUCGAAAGAUUAGCUAAUACCGCAUACGACCUGAGGGUGAAAGUGGGGGACCGCAAGGCCUCAUGCUAUAGGAGCGGCCGAUGUCUGAUUAGCUAGUUGGUGAGGUAAAGGCUCACCAAGGCGACGAUCAGUAGCUGGUCUGAGAGGACGAUCAGCCACACUGGGACUGAGACACGGCCCAGACUCCUACGGGAGGCAGCAGUGGGAAUUUUGGACAAUGGGCGAAAGCCUGAUCCAGCAAUGCCGCGUGUGUGAAGAAGGCCUUCGGGUUGUAAAGCACUUUUGUCCGGAAAGAAAUGGCUCUGGUUAAUACCUGGGGUCGAUGACGGUACCGGAAGAAUAAGGACCGGCUAACUACGUGCCAGCAGCCGCGGUAAUACGUAGGGUCCAAGCGUUAAUCGGAAUUACUGGGUGUAAAGCGUGCGCAGGCGGUUGUGCAAGACCGAUGUGAAAUCCCCGAGCUUAACUUGGGAAUUGCAUUGGUGACUGCACGGCUAGAGUGUGUCAGAGGGGGGUAGAAUUCCACGUGUAGCAGUGAAAUGCGUAGAGAUGUGGAGGAAUACCGAUG